UCAAUCUGAAACAACAGGUCAGUAGAUGUAAACCCUCAGUCAAUCUGAAACAACAGGUCAGUAGAUGUAAACCCUCAGUCAAUCUGAAACAACAGGUCAGUAGAUGUAAACCCUCAGUGAAUCUGAAACAACAGGUCAGUAGAUGUAAACCCUCAGUCAAUCUGAAACAACAGGUCAGUAGAUGUAAACCCUCAGUCAAUCUGAAACAACAGGUCAGUAGAUGUAAACCCUCAGUCAAUCUGAAACAACAGGUCAGUAGAUGUAAACCCUCAGUCAAUCUGAAACAACAGGUCAGUAGAUGUAAACCCUCAGUCAAUCUGAAACAACAGGUCAGUAGAUGUAAACCCUCAGUCAAUCUGAAACAACAGGUCAGUAGAUGUAAACCCUCAGUCAAUCUGAAACAACAGGUCAGUAGAUGUAAACCCUCAGUGAAUCUGAAACAACAGGUCAGUCGAUGUAAACCCUCAGUCAAUCUGAAACAACAGGUCAGUAGAUGUAAACCCUCAGUCAAUCUGAAACAACAGGUCAGUAGAUGUAAACCCUCAGUGAAUCUGAAACAACAGGUCAGUAGAUGUAAACCCUCAGUGAAUCUGAAACAACAGGUCAGUAGAUGUAAACCCUCAGUGAAUCUGAAACAACAGGUCAGUAGAUGUAAACCCUCAGUCAAUCUGAAACAACAGGUCAGUAGAUGUGAACCGUCAGUAAAUCUG